rnacentral:rRNA from 1 species
CAGUCGCCGCGGGAAUACAGAGGGUGCGAGCGUUAAUCGGAUUUACUGGGCGUAAAGCGUGCGUAGGCGGCUUCUUAAGUCGGAUGUGAAAUCCCUGAGCUUAACUUAGGAAUUGCAUUCGAUACUGGGAAGCUAGAGUAUGGGAGAGGAUGGUAGAAUUCCAGGUGUAGCGGUGAAAUGCGUAGAGAUCUGGAGGAAUACCGAUGGCGAAGGCAGCCAUCUGGCCUAAUACUGACGCUGAGGUACGAAAGCAUGGGGAGCAAACAGGAUUAGAUACCCCUGUAGUCCGUCUCUUAUACAC